ensembl:lncRNA
CUUGAACUCUGUCAUGUUCUUCAAACCCUUCCUGAACCAAUUGUUGCAGGCCGCAUUAUUCCGCUGAAAGAGGCCACUGCUGUUAGGGAAUACUGUUGCCAUGAAGAGGUGUACUUGUUCUGCAACAAUGUCUAGUAGCUCUUCUGAGGGAUCGGAACAGACGGGCUAGCCUUCUCUUCCCAUGCACAUCAGGGAGCCCUGGACACCCCUGACCCAGUCGACAGUUCACUGGUUGUCCUUCCUUGGAUCACUUUUGGGGGACAGUCCAUGAUGUGCUGCUACCUGCCUGGUGCACACCUGUCGGCUCUGUCUUCUCCUCAAUAGCACCUUCACCUUAGAUCAUCUCCUCUUCCUUUACGCAUGACUGGUGCCUAGCUAUAGCAUAGAAAAAGGUGAACGCCGAGUGCCUCUUCCCUUUUCCUCUGGUGCUUUGAAGUAUAAAGUGUGAUUGCCGUUGGAUUGCAAAUGCUUUCCUUGAAGGCUUUGACAUGAAAAAGCAGCCCGGGCUCUCUGGUUUAGCCCAGCGCCAAUGAUCCGGGACUAAAGCAAUCAGCCCUGAUGACUAUAAGGAGAUACAAUUACCACAGGGAGAGAGUGAAGACGUACGGAAUCCACUAAACACUAUCGCAAUGCCAAGUUUGUCUUACAUCUUUCGCUUGAAGUCUG